rnacentral:lncRNA from 1 species
UUCCUCAGCCUCCUCUAUCUUCAAGGUGGUGGAGGCCACCUCCUCCAAGGAGCCCUCCCAGGAACACAGAAUGCUAGCCUCACUCAUCCCCCCCGUCAACAUGGCCCCUUUGGCUCCUCUGGCCAGGAGAAGCAGAGACAUUGCAUGAAGGGGAAGAGCAGAGUUUGCGGUCUGGAAGGCCCAAGUCCCAGUCCUGCUGCUGCUGAUCGGGAGCCCACCUCCCGCUUUCCCAGCAGCUGCCAGGAUCCCCUAAGGAAGUGAGGGAAGGCACCUCCACAGGAGAGCACCAUCUGCGUAGAGACCACCAAGCCCCCCUCCCCAGGGAGACAUGCUUCCCCACAGGCCUGUGUCUCUCCUCGCAGCCCCCUCACAGGAUGCUUGGCAUACAGCAGGCACUCAGUGGAGAGAAAGACAUCAGUGGGAGUGGGCAGAGCUCCUGCCUGUCACCAAGCCAAGGAAGCUGGAGAAAGGCAAGAAAUCCAUCCCAGGUCGAGGGAUUGGCUGCAACCCUGUUCUAUGUCGUCUUCACGCUGGGAUGCAGGUACGUGGCUUAGGCUCCACCUGCAACACAGCCACCACUGGGAGGGAGAAAACAAGUGAGUCUGCCUCUUGGGACACACACUGCCUCUACCCACCUUUCAGGGACCAUGCCUGAGGGCAAGAAUACAAGGAUUGCAGGGCGGGAGGAGAGAAUUUUUGGCAAGGUGACCUUCACUCCAGCAGAGAUGCUCAGCCUAAUAACUGCUGGUAUUGUCAGGACACAAAGAAAUGUUCAGACAUACAAGGUAUUCUGAAAACCAGAAAAAGUCAAAGUCAUACUCCAGAUGAAGUCAAUCAAAAUAAAGACCUCAGGAGCAGGUGUAUAAGAAACAGCAGGAGGAAAGCUGGAGAAACAAAGUUGGGCAAAAAUGUUUCCUGGAAACAAACAGGGAUGCUGGCAGGGGAAGGUGGGGAGGCAUAGGGUAGCUGGGUGAUGGACACUGGGGAGGGAAUGUGCUAUGGGGAGUGUUGUGAAUUGUAUAAGACUGAUGAUUCACAGACUGUACCCCUGAAACAAUACAUUAUAUGUUAAUAAAAAAAUGUUUUCUGGAAACAUGACUGAAGUUUAAUGUCACCAUUCUAAACCUCCUGAGAUAGAGGCAUAUGUGAAAAAAGUUUAGAAUCUGAACUGGAUUCUAGAUGAUUCUAACAAAACCCAGGAGAGAAAGAAAGUGUGUGGAUGCACAUUUGUAGGAAGAAAGGCAGAAAUGUUUCUGCUGAGUUUCCCUUCUGGGGGGAAAGGAGGCCUUAACUAUGUGAUAUUAAGAGAAACAUAAAUCCAAAGUUAUUGGCCAAUAACUGAUACCCACUUAAAACACAGAAACAAGGUCUUAAAUGCUAAAUUUAGGGGUGCCUGGGUGGCUCAGUCAGUUAAGCAUCUGCCUUUGGCUCAGGUCAUCAGGCUUCUUGCUCAGCCAGGGGUCUGCUUCUCCCUCUCCCUCUGCCCCUCUCUGUCCACC